rnacentral:rRNA from 1 species
UACGUAGGGUGCGAGCGUUGUUCGGAAUCACUGGGCGUAAAGGGAGCGUAGGCGGGAUCGUAAGUUAGGAGUUUAAUACAUGGGCUCAACCCGUGAUAUGCUUUUAAUACUGCGGUUCUUGAGUAUGGGAGAGGGUGAUGGAAUUCCAGGUGUAGCGGUGGAAUGCGUAGAUAUCUGGAAGAACACCAGUAGCGAAGGCGGUCACCUGGCCCAAUACUGACGCUGAGGCUCGAAAGCUGGGGGAGCAAAC